rnacentral:tRNA from 1 species
GCCUGGCUGGCUCUGACAGUAGAGCAUGUGACUCUUGAUUUCGGGGUUGUGAGUUCAAAUCCCAUGUUGGGCA